AGCUGCACACGUACAUUCUGCCCAAAAUAAACCUGAAUGAGCCUGUGGAAGUGAAGAUGGACUUCAUGCUGGUGGCAAUUCUGUCUGUGGUGGAAAAGCUCCAGACAGUCAGUUUUUACUUCGUCCUGAACCUGGAAUGGCAAAACCCUUUUGCAACCUGGGACCCACAGGAUUUCUGUAACAUUUCUGAAAUUGUUCUGCCCAUGGAUACGUAUUGGU